UCAAAAACUCCCUUUUCACAUUUGCACCCCACCAAAGUCCCCACGUCAACCCCACCAAACCCUCACCGCUGCUAGUCCAAUACCUAUGAGCCUCUCUGCUGCCACUAUCGCCACCACCACCGCCACUGCCUGCCUAGGAAGUCCAUCAUAGAUCUAAGCUCUCGUUGUCUUUAUGAAGUAGGGGAGUGAGGCUUGCCAAGAUUUUCUCACCCCCUUCUCCAGAGCCUCCAAUCGCAUGAUCUAGCCCUAGCGCUGGCGAUCAAGUCGGGGCACUUUUUCUCUCGAUGGUACCCAGUUGGAGGAAAGGAUCACCCCCGCUGCCGCCCAGCAGCACUGGAAGGUUGGCAAUCUCGUCCUCACCAAGAUGAAGGGCUUCCCAGCAUGGUUGGCGAUGGGUUUCUUGUCCCAAGCCCUCUUUUUAUGCUACGAUUGUGAAGCAUAUGCCCGAGGAACAGCUACAGCUUCUCUUUUCUUCACUUUCCUUGCCCUCCUCCAUCUGGGAUUUUCAUGUUUGCUACAUGUAGUGCUAACAACUUCUGCUUUUUGACUUUGAUUGGUUUUUGGUAGGGUAGUGAACCGGAGAAAGGGGGCCUCUCAUCUGUUCGCAAGAAGCUACUUGUCUACAUCUAUGGAACUAUACAGAUGUAUCAGUGAUAGCUAUCUUUAAAAAAGAAAUCAAAUUGGUACAACAGUUUUGUCAGGUUUCAGAGAAUGGAAAUUCAUCAUUUACCUAUAUAAUAGUCAACAACCAAAUGUAAGAACUUUUUCCACUGUUCUGCUGUCAAGCUUCAAUAUUUAUUUUUCCCCAAUAGUAUUGAAAAAUAAAAUCUCUUUGGCUGUGGUUAUCAAGAACUCAUUAUUGGAGCAAAUACAAUUUGCUUGUGUUGGGUUGUGGUUCAACUUUUUUGUUAGCAUUUUCACAAAAUUUGACUAGUGUUUUGGAUGUAAUUUGUAAAUCAUUUGCAGGCACCAACUACCAUAAAGGAUAAACAAUUUUGGCUUUGUUGAUUUAAUAGUUUUGCUUGACAGGCAUGGACUACUACACCACCUAUUCCUUGUGCACUAGUGUCCAUUCUUCUUAGACUAGCUAAUAUCAAAUUUGUGAUUGCGACCCUUGGAGAUAAAGGUUGCAUAAUGCUUGAGAGGAGCAUAAAUGAGGCUUCUGAGAUGGAGGAAACGAAUGUAGAAAGUUUAUUUCAGUUACUGAGGCAGAAAGUCGAUAGAAAUGCUACCAUCCUGACAUGUAUUUCUUUCAAGGUAUAUUUUUGCCAGACAACAUAAACUUCUCUGAUAUGUGUACUUCCUCCAAAUUAUUUUGGUUGAGCUGAGAUAUGGGAUCUGUAAUCGCAAGCAUCAUCCAACUGAACUAUGAUCACAAUUGUGAUUCUGUUUUGGACUAGUUGGGGGCAUCUCAGGGAUUACCGUCAAACUGUUAGGGUAUGUACAUGUUUAUGAAUUCACAAAAGUAUUUAAUGGAUGUAUAUUAGUGAUAUUUAGUGAUUCACGUUGUAAAUAGAAGGGUUAGAAACACAAAUCUUUAUAACUAUGAAGUUAUUUGAAUUUGCAUGUGUUUUAA